UAGGGAAUCUUCCGCAAUGGACGAAAGUCUGACGGAGCAACGCCGCGUGAGUGAUGAAGGCUUUCGGGUCGUAAAACUCUGUUGUUAGGGAAGAACAAGUGCUAGUUGAAUAAGCUGGCACCUUGACAGUACCUAACCAGAAAGCCACGGCUAACUACGUGCCAGCAGCCGCGGUAAUACGUAGGUGGCAAGCGUUAUCCGGAAUUAUUGGGCGUAAAGCGCGCGCAGGUGGUUUCUUAAGUCUGAUGUGAAAGCCCACGGCUCAACCGUGGAGGGUCAUUGGAAACUGGGAGACUUGAGUGCAGAAGAGGAAAGUGGAAUUCCAUGUGUAGCGGUGAAAUGCGUAGAGAUAUGGAGGAACACCAGUGGCGAAGGCGACUUUCUGGUCUGUAACUGACACUGAGGCGCGAAAGCGUGGGGAGCAAACAGGAUUAGAUACCCUGGUAGUCCACGCCGUAAACGAUGAGUGCUAAGUGUUAGAGGGUUACCGCCCUUUAGUCG
rnacentral:rRNA from 1 species